UCUUGAUUUGGAAAUGAUCCAUGAGCCAUGAAAUAUUAGUGGGAGUGAGUGUAUUGGUGCUAUGAACAUUCUGGGGUAUUAAAAUGCCAUUGACCUCCACAACUACCAAGGUAUAAAAAUAACAAAUGCUAAUGAAAUGACCUGACUGCUGAGAGCAUGCAGUUUGCCCCUUGUCAACGUUCCGCUUCAUGAAAUAUAGGCCACUCUGCCUCCCCUGCCUAUGUCAGACUGUCCAGGAGAGUAUGCACUUCAUUAUUCUGCUGCUAUCCAUCAAAACUUCCGUGCCCAAAAAGUAUUAGGGGGAAAUAAUGCCUUCUCUUUUUCCUUUUUUUUUUUUUUUCAGACUGGAGAGUUUGUUGAAUAAUGGAAUUAAGAUUUGGGACCGAGGAAGUGAUGAUACUUUGGGCCCAGAAGAGGAAAUACAUGGAUUAAAUGAUGUGAGGUCAGUUAUGGAAGAAUGCAUCAGUGUCUGAUGAGUAUUAUCCAAGUACAAACUGAAUAAAUCAUGCUAAGAAAAGGCAAUAUGAAGAUGGCCAAGACCAGCAGAUUCACAGGGAACCUGGACAUUGUGUCAUUUUCCACGGAGUGGGGUGAAAAUGAGAACUUUGAUCUAAAUUUAAGCUGAUUAAAGACCUUGGUGUUCGAUACUCCUCAGUUGACGCUGUUUCUGUAUGUGUUGUGUGAAACGGAGACAUACCAUUAGUGCAGAGUUUCAGUCUAUGCUGAACUUGAACGUCAAUCAGGCAGAGCCCUAGGGAGGAAAAUGCCUUGCCUGUGUGCGUUUAAUGAGAAAGACCCUGUCCUACAUGCAGAAGCCGACAGCUUUCCAGAACUACCUGUGGCUGCACAGAUGUCUGCUCAUUUUGGAGUUUAGGAUAAAGAAGCCCAUCCACCAACAAGUAUAAGCUGCAUUCUCCAAAGUCAGCUUUCCCAAUUACAAGGAUGCUUUAUUAUUCUGUCUUAUUUCUCAACGUGUUCAGGAUUUGGGGAGUAAAGAGUUAACAGUAUUAUUUACAGGACUCGUUCAAACCCCAACACACACAAACACCCUAAGCACUGAAAAGCAUUCACAGUGUUUAUUGCUAUUUAUUAUGAGAGCGUCAUGUUAUUUAUUCAACAGAUACAUUUGUUAAGUGUAAAAUCUGUGCCCAGCGUUAUGCCAGGUUUUACGGAUACAGAGAUAAGAUUCCUUCAAAUAGUUUAUGGUCCAGUAGGAAGGACCUUGUGAAACAGGAAUUGCCUUGCACUGUUAUGUUUGUUAUGACAAUAAAAGUUUGUACAAAUUAUGAAGGAAACUUAAAAAAAAAAACAUGCCAUAAUAGAAACAGCAAGGCUGGGAAUUUACACACACUCCAAACACAGAAAUCCUACAGUCAAGGUCUACAAUCUGUAAUUUUCUUCUUCCCAACUCAUAAUCUAAUAUUCUUUUGCUCUUUUCUUUUCAUAGUGUGGCAAGUAAGUUGCCAGCCUCAGCAUUCUCAGCUCCACAGUUAGAACUUAGGUUCCAAUCCUGGUUUUGCAUCUUUGUUUGUGUGUUUGGGGUGUUUUAAUUUUGUCUACAAUUUUGUUUUGUCCUCUGGAAAAUAGGAACUAAGUAACCAUCUCUUGGGGUGGCUAGGUGGAAUGAAUUUAAUCAUCUGUAUCAAUGAUUAGCUUGAGACCUGGUACAGAGUAAGCAUUCAUUAAAUAUUAAUAUUAACUUUUAUUAUCAUCUUACUGUUCAUUCAAUAGAAAUUCAACAAAUCUCUUUUUUUUUUUUUUUUUUUUUAGCGUAUCUUACACGGCAGGCACAGUUCUAGGGUCUGGAAAUCCUCAAUGAAUAGAAUGAAUUGAACGAAUGUAAUGGAUUCUUUCUUCUCCUCCAGGAGUCUGCUCCUUCCCAAAGGGGAGACCCUUUUCUCCUUUGAAAGAUCUUCAUUCUGGAGGUUUGCGGGUAAAUUUGUGAAUUUGGAGGCUUUUAUUCAAAUAGAUUCUAAUCACAAGUGGCUAAUUUUCACUUCGAGCAGGUACUUAAGCCUAGGAAACAUCCAUCUCCACAUAGUCUUUGAUCCUUUAAAGAUAAGUCUUGUAACUGUAUUUUCCAAAUAGUAAGUCAAGACCAAUCGUCUGAUGUUAAUGAGAACCCAAAAUGUCCGCAUCCACACACCUUACUGCUCUAUGUUACCCUGACUUUAUUCUUCCAAGACCAUGGAAGCAUGGAAUAAUUAUUUACUCUCCAAGACUCUUUGAAACCCUGUCUUAAAAUCCUUCCUUUGCUAGAUCCAUCAGUCCUGAAGUGCUAUGUCAUGACCCUUACCCAAUCAAAUCAAAAGACCCACCUGAAAACAAGUACCCAGACCUCAUAAACACCCCAGCUUUAUCUUCACCUCUUUCUAACUGUAUUAUUUGGGCGCACAUCCCUUACUUUCUGUCAACCUGAGUUUCCUAAAGGGAGAUAGUAAGAAUGGAGCAAAUUUAGAGGAGCCUUAUGAAGAUUAAAUGAAACAAGCCAUGUGAAGUUUAUUCUACUCUGAGCUAUGGCAAGCACUAAGUUACAGCCAAAAAAGGAAACGUCAUGAUCUGUGAGCUCCCUGGGAAUGGGUAGCUUGAUUACAAGGACAGACUUUAUGCUGUGGCUACAAGAAGCUCAUGAACACACUGCACUUUGGGGUGUACCACUGGAUUCUCUAAGUGGAGACAGAACUCAACAAUGGCAGAGUUGAAGCAUUCCUUCCGGUCUUUUCCAGGCAUUUCCCAGCUCAGCAAAUUUGGCCAGACUGGCAAAAUCUUAAGGAAAUAAAUUUUCGGGAGAAAUAAGCAGAGAAACCAUUUUGACAUAACAAAGCUGUUCAUGCUGGUAGCAGACUGGAUUGCCAAUUGGCUUCAUUUAACUUAACUCUUGGUCCCAGACAGACAGGCUCCUAGGGCCAGGGGCAGGAUCACACAGCAGCCUGGGAGCUAACUCUGGGACUUGAUGACAACACAUAUUUACAGCUCUGGACAGGAAGAAAGGAAGCUUUAACUGAGAAACUUCCCCAGUUCUGGGGACUUCAUCUUCCACUAUGAGGAGGAGAAAUAGAUAGACUAUAGCAAUUUCAACCCUUUUGGUGCUCAGAACUUAGUUGGGAUUUCCCAAGUCUUCAAGUGGAGUCUCCCUCUAAUUCUAUUUUGGUUUAUUGACUAUUUAAUGGAUUACCUUGUCAUUCAGAAUAUACUGAUGGAGAGCCAACUCCAAAUGAAGCAUGUUGUCCCUCAACAUGCAUCUAGUUAUGUAGGAUAAGUAAAUAAAAUUAUUAAGGUUUGUUGUGCUAAA